UACAGAGGUCUCAAGCGUUGUUCGGAUUCAUUGGGCGUAAAGGGUGCGUAGGCGGCGCGGUAAGUCGGGUGUGAAAUCUCGGGGCUUAACUCCGAAACUGCAUUCGAUACUGCCGUGCUUGAGGACUGGAGAGGAGACUGGAAUUUACGGUGUAGCGGUGAAAUGCGUAGAUAUCAUUUGGAACGCCAAUGGCGAAAACAGGUAGCUGGGGCUGUGCUGACACUGAGACACGAAAGCCAGGGGAGCAAACAGG
rnacentral:rRNA from 1 species